rnacentral:rRNA from 1 species
UACGUAGGUGGCUAGCGUUGUCCGGAUUUACUGGGCGUAAAGAGCGCGCAGGCGGUCGUUCAAGUCGAGUGUGAAAGCCCCCGGCUCAACUGGGGAGGGUCACUCGAUACUGAUCGACUCGAAGGCAGGAGAGGGAAGCGGAAUUCCCGGUGUAGUGGUGAAAUGCGUAGAUAUCGGGAGGAACACCAGUGGCGAAGGCGGCUUUCUGGCCUGUUCUUGACGCUG